ACAAGUAGAGAGAUUGUCUUGAGACUCUGAUACAUUUGGACUUUUAAAUAGUGUUGAGGCUGUGAACGACUAUGGAGACUUUUGAAGUUGGGCUGAAUGCAUUUUGCAUUGUGAUAUGGCUAUAAGCCUAUGAUGGCCAGGGCAUAGAAUGUGGUGUGCUGAAUGAGAGUAGCUCCCAAAGGCUCAUAUGUUUGAAUACUUAGUCUCCAGUCAAAGGAACUGUUUGAAAAGAAUGAGGAGUUGUGGCCUUGUUAGAGGAAGUGUGUAACUGAAGUGUGUCAGUCUCUCUCUCUCUCUCUCUCUCUCUCUCUCUCUCAAUCAGAAUAUAGUGCUCAGCUACUUCUCCAGCACCAAGCGUGCUUGCCUGUCACAAUGAUCUCCAUCAUAAUGCUAAUGGACUAACCCCUGAAGGUUUAAGCAAGCCACCAAUUAAAUGUCUCCUCCUAUAAGCUGUGUUGGCUAUAGUGUCUCUUUCCAACAAUAGGACAGUAAAUAGGACAAUAUGGAAGCACAAAAGACACUGAUCAGCCAAAGCAUCUGAGCAGAAAGCAUUGCUGGAAGUAUCACAAUACUAACUUCAAAGUAUAUUACAGAGCAGUAGUAACCAGGAUAGCACAGUAGUCACACACACACACACACACACACACAUGCAAUCACAUAGCACAAUUCAACACAAUGGAAGACCCAAGAAAGAAAACCAAAAGUACAUCCACCCCAUUUUUGACAAGGCUUCCAAAAACACAUUGAAAAAAAAAACACAGCCUCUUUAACAAUUGGUUCUGGGAAAAGUCGAUUUCCACAAAUGAAAACCACAGUUCUCGCCCUACACAAAACCCAGUUCAAAAUGAAUCAAGGAUUUAUUUGGGGGGGGGGGCUUUUGUUUGCUUUUUUUAGACAAUGUGUUUUGUAGUCUGUGCUGGUUUCAUACUUGUUCUGUAGCUUAGAAAUUGGACUCAACUUCUGAUUCUCCUGUCAUUAUUUUACAAAUGCUAGGAUUAAUGGCCUGCACCACUACAUCUGGAGCUGAAUGAAAGGCCAUAAUGUAAGAUCUUAAACUUUGAAACUGGUAGAAGAAAACAAAGUUACCUUCAGUAUUCAGGCAAAGGCAAGCACUUCCUCAAAGGACUCCAAUAACACAGACAAUGAUCCCAAGAAUUGAUGAUGUAAUUACAUGAUAUUAAAAGACUUCUUCAUGCCAAACAAAAUAAUCACAAGAGUGGAGAGAAAGAACGCCUACCCCGUGGAAAAUAGUCUUUGUAAUAAACAGAGCAUUAAAGUUUCAUAAAAUGUAUGAAGAGCUACCAAAAAUUGAACGCUCCAAACCCAAAUCAUCCAGUCAGCAAAUGAACCAAUGAACUCAACAGUCAGUUUUCAAAAGAAGAAAUACAAAGAACUAACAAAUGCUUGAAAACAUUGUUCAAUAUCUGUCAAUACCAGAGACGUGGAAAUAAAACUGCUUUGAGGGCUGGUAAGAUGGCCCGGGGGUAAAGGUGCUGACUGGUCAGUCAGACCACUGGAAUCCAAGCCUGGAGACCCAAGGGCAAACGAGAAGACCAGCUCCUGUGUGGCUCCUGCGAGCUGUCAGGGUGGGCACUUAGGCACACACAACGUUCAAAACCUGCUUUGAGAUUACAUCUCACUUCAGUCAGAACGGUUAUCAUCAUGGAAACAAAGAAGGAAAGAAAACAAAUUACAAUAAACGCCCUUCUCGGGUCACCUGAGUCGGUAGCCAAUGACUGCUGGAAGAGCAGAGGGCCAGGGUAGAGGCAUCACCAAGUCCCCCACAGAGUCUCUUUGGAGGUAAUCAGCUGACACAACAUUUGCAGAGACAAUGAUGACAAAGAUGAGAGGCAGGGAUUCAUGGACUCCAUUCAGUAAGGAGGCUGAGGUGGCUCCCUGUUCAAAGGUUACUGCCCCAAAUCAACUCUUCCUAUAUUUCAUUAUUAAUACAGUUGGAAAUAGUCCCUUGAGGACACUUAUUAACUAACUCCGAAGUUCUGAGAGAAAACACAAGGGUGAAUUCGUACUUUUACUACUGUUGUUUGUAAAUUCUUUUGUGGCAAAAUGCACACAUGAAGUUUACCAUUCUAGUCAUUUCACCGGUCCAACUUAGCCAUCUCAAGUGCAUGCACACAGCUGUGCAGUAUUUCUUAGCAGCUUUCUUCUUGCAUAUACAAUCAUAUGAAGUAUUUUCAUGAUCUUUGCUGCUCUGAAAUGCUCAUUUAAAUAUAAAUAUGAGCUGGAAUAUAGGCCAGGAUAACAAGCAUUAAAUUUUGAAAAAGUCUUCUGUAUUACUGUAGAAGAAUACAUACAUAUGUGUGUGUAUACAUAUAUAUACACAUACACGUGCAUAUACAGGUACAUAUACAAUGGGCAGUUGGCAUUGCCUCUACUAGACACCACAGACUAACAAAAAGCACAAUGCCAAGAAUGGGUUAUCUUUUUUGGAGUUGGAGUUGUUGGCCACAGGCUACGGUCAAUGCUUUCAUUUCCUGCCAUAACUUAAUGGUUAAGACCCUAUUGCUAAAACACCACAUGACCAAAUUACAGAACAUGGGAAACCGAGCUGCUACUGACCUGGAAACUUCAUCCCUACUGACACACUACCAAAGGACAACAGUCACUGUGGUGGCUUGAAUGAGAAUGACACUCAUAGGCUCAUAUAUUUGAAUGCUUGGUCACCAAGGAGUGACACUAUUUGAAAGUAUUAGGAGGUGUGGCCUUGUUGGAGAAGGUAUGUCUUUGUUAGAGAAGGUAUUUCACCAGGGGUGGGCUUUGUGAUUUCAAAAGUCCAUGCUAGGUGCUUUCUCUCUCUCUCUCUCUCUCUCUCUCUCUCUCUCUCUCUCUCUCUCUCUCUCUCUCCCUCCCUCCCUCCCUCCCUCCCUCCCUCCCUCCCUCCUUCCCCUCCCUCCCUCCCUCCCUCCCUCCCUCCUCUUUGCAUAUUAAGAUAUAAGACUCUCGGCUACUGCUCGGGGCUGGUUCUGGCCCAGAUGCACCUGCGUGUGACCCUGGCUCCCCGACUUCCUGCAGCUUCGAGGCAGCAGCAUGGGUGGCACGCGGGACGUGGGCUGGGUGGCAGCAGGGCUGGGCGCUGCGCCUGUUACUGUAUUUACCGGCUGACUCGGGGACCACGCGGUCACCGACUGCGCCCUUCGCCCUUCGCGGUCUGCAGAAGAGAGCUUGAGAAACUUCUGUAGUUGCUGGAGUCAACCAACGAUCCUAUAAUUACUAAAAAAGCCUUGGUCACCUUAGGAAAUAAUGCAGCCUUUUCUACUAACCAGGCCAUUAUUCGUGAGUUGGGUGGUAUGCCAAUCGUUGGAAACAAAAUCAACUCCCUGAACCAAAGUAUUAGAGAGAAAGCUUUAAAUGUACUGAAUAACCUGAGUGUGAAUGUUGAAAAUCAAACUAAGAUAAAGAUAUACAUCCCUCAAGUGUGUGGGGACGUCUUUGCUGAUCCCCUGAACUCUGCGGUGCAGCUGGCGGGACUGAGGCUGCUGACAAACAUGACAGUCACCAACGACUACCAGCAC
rnacentral:lncRNA from 1 species